rnacentral:tRNA from 1 species
GGAGAGGUGGGUGAGUGGCUGAAACCACCAGUUUGCUAAACUGGCGUACUGAGCAAUUGGUACCGGGGGUUCGAAUCCCCCCCUCUCCGCAA